rnacentral:rRNA from 1 species
GACGAACGCUGGCGGUGUGCUUCACACAUGCAAGUCGAACGAGGUAGCAAUACCUAGUGGCGGACGGGUGAGUAACGCGUGGGAAUCUGCCUUUAGAUGGGGGAUAACGGGUCGAAAGACUCGUUAAUACCGCAUAUGACGAAAGUUGAAAGGAGUAAUCCGUCUAAAGAUGAGCCCGCGUCCGAUUAGCUAGUUGGUAGAGUAAAAGCCUACCAAGGCGACGAUCGGUAGCUGGUCUGAGAGGAUGAUCAGCCACAAUGGGACUAGAGACACGGCCCAUACUCCUACGGGAGGCAGCAGUGGGGAAUUUUACGCAAUGGGCGAAAGCCUGACGUAGCGACACCGCGUGAGC